rnacentral:lncRNA from 1 species
UGGGCCUAAUUUACAAAUUAUGCUAUAUUAUAGGCAGUUAUAGGCAAAAUAGUGUAUAUUGGGGCUUUCUACUGUCAGACUUGGUAUGAUUCCCCACAGAUGGGGAAUCUGUAUAUUGUUACAGAGCCAUUUUUCUGGGUGGUGCUAGGCAUUCAAUCCAGGGCCUCACACUCGUUAGACAAGAACUCUGUAACUGAACUAUAGCUCCACUCUUUUUUUUUUUUUUUUUUUGAGACAGGGUUUCUCUGUAUAGCCCAGGCUGUCCUGGAACUCACUUUGUAGACCAGGCUGGCCUCGAACUCAGAAAUCUGCCUGCCUCUGCCUCUGCCUCCCGAGUGCUGGGAUUAAAGGCGUGCGCCACCACACCCGGCUCUAUAGCUCCACUCUUUUUUGUCAUUUUAAAGAGAUGACAUCCAAGCUUUUUGGCAAAAUUAGCCUCGUUUCUAAAUGGCACUUAACAUAAUCCCUUCCAUUUCUUCAGAGAUUUCUUCUAUCAGGCUUGGGGGUUUCAGGUAUGGAGAUGGUACCUUUCAAUACGGUUGCCAAAACAACAACAAAACAACAACAAAAAACCAAGAGCUUUUCUUAGCUGCAGUCUCCCAUUUAGCUUUCCCUCUUGAAACUGAAAACCCCGGGCAAACACAGAUGGGCAGUUAUCAAGAAUUCAAUUGGUCCAAACUCACACAAGUUUCAGCUCACAAAGGCAGAGCCAAAGAAAGAAGCCUCCAUGUUGAGUGGGCAGUCUGUUGUUCAUCAGCUCUGACUGGCAGCUCUACCUCAUAUUGGCAGGGUCCCUUGGUGGUCAUGUCGUUCCAUGAACAGGGAGAACAUGCUGCAGCCUACAAAUCCAUACUUGCUUUCUGAAGUGGUGGAGCUAUUUAAAAGGUACCAGUGGGGCAUGAAAUCUAAAGAUGGUGUACUGAAACUUGAGGAAGAAUUGAGGGAGUUGCAAUGUGAUUAGUGCAGCUGAAAUCUGUCCAGACCAUUGAGUUCACCAUUAAUAUUAUAAAAAGGAUGUUGUGGGCCUGUUAUAUUACUUUAUUCUACCUGAAACUAUUAAUAUGGUCUAAAUGAUUAGUCAAUCCUAAUGUCCCAUUAAAUAUAAAUGAUGAAAAUGAAUAAGCCAUGGACAGUUUAUCACUACCUUAAUAGAGUACUAGCCCAAACCACAAUAGUCCUUUGGGGUCUGAGAUGGUUAUUUUUAGCUACCAUGAUUGACAUAAGCACAUUAUAAAUUUCACAUGGUGCUAGGGCUUUGGGGCAAUUGUACUGUUUAUAUUCAAGUAAGAACUGAGGCUGAAGUAUGCCAGCAAACGACUGAUAAAGAGCCAGAGGUAUGUCCGCAAUCUGGUUGGUAGCUUUCCCAUAUAGAACAGACGCAAGAAGCAGCUGCCAGAGCCCCACGCUGCCAGUGCUUCCUUUUUUGAUGCAAGAUUAUAUCUGGCUCUUCAAAGUCACAGCACCACUUGCCCUAACCCUAAGCCCAAACAUUUUCCCCAAGCUGGAAGUCACCAGAAAAGUCACAAGUACCACUCUGGAACUGGCAAAGCAGCUGACUUUUCAGCCUCAGUGUGUAGCAUGCCCGGUGUAUACAGCCCUUGGGUGACCACCAUCUUAAUAACAUUUCCAGGUUCCAACCUGUACUCUGAGAAAAGGCAAGGCUUGAUGUUAAAAGAAAGGGUUGGCACUUAAUCAGGUUGUCUUCUCUAUAGUUUAUCAAUGUCCUUCACCAGCUAUGAAUGAUCACCCUUGACUACAAAGAGCAGUCUGAGGCCCAGAAGACUCUGUGUUUUAAACAUAGACAUGCCAUUGAGCAUCCUAUCAUGAGGCAGGUUACAUAAAGAAAUCUAAAACAAAGAUUCAUUUUUAACAUUUUAUUGGGUAAUAACAAUAGUGUCAAAGCUACUACAAUGUCUUUCCACAGCCAUACCUUACAGACCCACAUAAACCUUUUCAUAUUUUUCUCUUUUUUUGUUCAUUUUUAAUAUUUUAAAGCCAUACAUGUCAUAUAAAAUGCCCACUUCCAAUAACUUCUUCAAACUAGUAAGCAAUUCAGUGUGGAAGGAGGGAGGGAGGAGCUGGUUAUAACGAAGGGCUUUUAGAUAACCUGUGAUGUCUCACUGUAAUCAAAACACCAGGUUACUAAGAAGGGAGGAGAGAGCUACUCCAGGUAGCUUUUUGCUUGUUACAAGUCUCACCAUUGCAUCACCAAAAACUCUUUAUGCUGGUGACCGAUUCAAAGGAAUUUUGGGAAACAUAUAAAACACUAAAAUAACUUAGAAACUAGAUCCAAAUAUCUCAAAAGUAAUCAACUUUGAUAUACAAAAGCGGUCAGAGGUGCUUACAAAAGUAUUUUUUGUUUGUUUGUUUUAUUUUGUUUUUUUUUUUUUCUCAGUGCGUCUAAGUACCAGCGCAGUUACUGGGUCUGGAGCAAAAUAAAAGGUUCAUUUUCUUCUGAAACAGUAAUAAAAAACAAGGAAAACAUAUCUUUGUAUAUAAAGGAUCAAUGCUGGUCUUAAGAAUAAAUGUAAUCAGAAACCCUUAAAUCGAGAGGCACACAAUGGGUUUCCACUUG